AGAGGGCCAAACUUCAAGGAGGAGCUAUUGCAUCAUAACUAAGAGUGCAGAAAGCCAAGAGGGCCAAACUACAAAUCAAACACAGUAUGGCAGAUGCAUAUGGUGUGGGGCAUAACUGGAGCAUUCAGGUGUCAGUUUUCCAGACAAUUUCUUCCAUCUCUGCUGCUGAUGAAAACUGCAUCUGAGCAUCUAGGGCCCCUUCCACACAGCUGUAUAAAAUCCACAUGGAACUGGAAUAUCUGGCAGUGCGGACUCAGAUAAUCCAGUUCAAAGAAGUAAAUCACAGAGUGGCUGAGAAUUUGGGUCUUAAGAAAAAGUACGUUGGUCCAGUCCUGAACCCAUUCAAUACCCGGAGGUCCAUCAAUAACAGGUCUUCUCCACUUCACUAAAGCCUGAAAAAACUCCAGCACAUGAAGAAGUAAAAUGGAAAUGCUUUUCUGACCUACAAUAAUCCAUUUAAUCAUUUGAGGUUUCAGGGUUUUUUUUCUGAAUUAUCUCACACGCAUGCAUGGGCAAACCUCAGCCCUCCAGAUGUUUUGGACUUCAACUCCCAAAAUUUGUUUUUGAGAACAUACUAUCCACUAAUAUGCCAGUAAGGGAGGAAUGUCCAUUAAAGAAUACACUGUCGUGACUUUAAAAUGGCAUUAAAGGCUAAUCCUUUCUGGCAAGCCUAUCCAGAUGAUUCCUAAAUUAUUGUGUACUGGUGAUUUUAAUAUGCAUAACCUGUCUAUGUUAUUUUAAACUGAUGUCUUAACUAAGUUAUUUGGGAUGUAUUUUAAACUUAUUGUAUAUGUUGUACUGUAAUGUUGUUGUUCCCCACCUCAAUCCAUGGGGAGUGGCAGGUCGGAUAUUAUUACUGCAUCAUUUUUGUGCCAUUAGAUUUUUAUACACAAAACAGGGUUGGACUGUAAUUGCUGUGUGAUGCUAUUUUCAAUGUUUGUAUAUAGUCUUUUAAUUAAUUUCAAUAUUUUUAAUGUUUUAACUUUAAAAGUUGCUUAAUAAUAUUUACAUCUUAUAUUUAUAUUUUUAAUAAUGCUUUUAUAUAGUUAUUUGUACUGUUUUAAAUAUCUUGUUAGCCAUCUUCAUGGGAGAAAGGGAGGAUAUAAAUGAAUAAAACCAACCAAUCAAAGCCAGGCAGUCAACAAUUUGCUAGUGUGCUCUGAUUUGAUUACCUUGAGAAAGGACUAGAGAGAUGUGUGGUUAUUUAUUAUUAUAUUUAUAUUAUUAUAGGAGCCCCUGGUGGUGCAAUGGGUUAAACCCUUGUGCCAGCAGGACUGCUGACUUGAAGCUUGGGUUUCUGACCUGAAGAUUGCCAGUUUGAAUUCAGGGAGAGCACAGAUGACCUCCCUCUGUCAGCUCCAUCUCCCUAUGCGGGAAAAUAAGAGAUGCCUCCCACAAGGAUGGUAAAACAUCAAAAACAUCCGGCCGUCCCCUGGGCAACGUCCUUGGAGACAGCCAAUUCUCUCAUACUACAAGCGACUUGCAAUUUCUCAAGUCACUCCUGACACGAAAAAAAUUAUAUUUAUAGAAUGAAAAAGGAAGAUAGUUGCAUGUGAGACUUUCUGUCUCUAGUGUCAAAAUACUUCUAGUGCAUGUAUUAUGCACCUUGAUUUUGGUAACUGUCAUUCUGACUCAGGUGCCUAAAUGUCUUGGCAUUACAACAGUGGGUCAUAUGGUACAAUUGUUCUGAACUGUGACACAUCAGACUGCAAGAUGACAAUAGAAGUGAUCCGUUUGAAUUUUGAGAAAGCCAUCAAGGAAAAGAAGUACAGAGCAUGACUUGAAUUCAUUUUUCUUCUUAUUUAUUAUUGCUACCUUUUUUGUCUGGUAAUCUGAGCCAUUAAAAAGAAAUAACAAAGAUUUUGGUAAAAGCCCAAAGCAGCCUGCUGUCACCUUUUCCCCCAAAAUGGAAGCACCUACCUUUGUC